rnacentral:lncRNA from 1 species
UUGCUUCCCACAUGCAGUGAGCAUUUAUGAUCCAGUGGUGCUGGCUCGGCGCAGGGUAUCUCAGGUUUUGAGGGUAUUGAGAAGAUUCAAGGAGCUGGAGCAGCAAAUGCAAAAGGAUAAUGCCAGGUUCCUGCCACCGAUUGAGGAGGAGCAUGCUGAAGAGGUGGAACAACCAAAACCUCCAGAUGAGCCGGAGCCCUCUGCCAGUGCCAAGCAGUCCUCCAGAGUGGCAGCGCGCUUGAUGCGUGCUGUGACUGAGGAGAAACGGCUCCAGGUGCUGAUGGCCUCCAAGCGCAAGGAGGUCGAAGCUGAAGUCCAGUCCGAGUGCCAGGAGUACAUACAGAGGCUGAGUGCAGAGAGAAGCCAGAACCCCUUCCACCGCCUGCUGGAGCGUGACCCUCGUCCUUCCUACACUGUGAGAAGGGAGUACGAUCAGCAUCUUAAAGAGAGGCUGAAAGGGAAGGACUGGUGCCAAAGCCUCGCAGGGCAGACAGCACCAGGGGACUGGCAGAAGAAGCUGCAGCUCACAGGGACAUCACGGGAACUGAAUAGAGAGAACACGAGGCUCUUGGACCGCCGUGGGAAGGCCCAGAGCUGCCAGGCGGCUUCUGGCUGCAGCGGCCGUAGCCAUCACAGCCUGCACCGAAACUCCCUUUCAGGCGCCAGCGACUGCACCCAGGCGCACUCAGGCAGAGCCUCCCACUGCUGCAAUCUGCCACCUUUGUACGGGGAGAGCUGUCAGCAGCGGGGCCAAGGGGCACCUUUCCAAAAGUAACAUCUUCAAUCAAGCUUUCCAAAAGUAACAUCUUCAAUCAAGCUUUCCAAAAGUAACAUCUUCAAUCAAGCUUUCCAAAAGGAACUUAACAUCUUCCAUCAAAAUUUCCAAAAGAAACUUAACAUCUUCCAUCUAAAUUUCCAAAAGUAACAUCUUCAAUCAAGCUUUCCAAAAGUAACAUCUUCAAUCAAGCUUUCCAAAAGUAACAUCUUCUAUCAAAAUUUCCAAAAGGAACUUAACAUCUUCUAUCAAAAUUUCCAAAAGGAACUUAACAUCUUCCAUUAAUCUUUCCCAAAUUAUCAUCUUCCAUCAAAUAAAGAAAAAUUCACCCCAUACA